rnacentral:lncRNA from 1 species
GGAAAGCAAAUGGGAUCCUGGGCUCCAGCAGCAGAGGGGUGGCCAGCAGGGACAGGGAGGUGAUUGUCCCUCUCUGCUCUGCCCUCGUGAGGCCCCAUCUGCAGUACUGCGUCCAGGCCUGGGGACCCCAACGCAAGAAAGACAGGGAGCUGUUGGAGAGGGUCCAGAGGAGGCCACAAAGAUGCUCAGAGGGCUGCAGCACCUCCCCUACAAAGACAGGCUGAGGGAGCUGGGCUUGUUGAGCCUGGAGAAGAGAAGGCUGCGGGGUGAGCUCAUUGCAGCCUUCCAGGACCUAAAGGGAGCCUCCAAACAGGAGGGGAGGCAACUCUUUGAGAGGGGAGAUAAGA